AUACGGAGGGGGCUAGCGUUGUUCGGAAUUACUGGGCGUAAAGCGCACGUAGGCGGCGCACGCAGUCAGAGGUGAAAGGCCUGGGCUCAACCCAGGAACUGCCUUUGAUACUGGUGUGCUAGAGUCCGGGAGAGGGUAGCGGAAUUCCCAGUGUAGAGGUGAAAUUCGUAGAUAUUGGGAAGAACACCGGUUGCGAAGGCGGCUACCUGGACCGGUACUGACGCUGAGGUGCGAAAGCGUGGGGAGCAAACAGGAUUAGAAACCCCAGUAGUCC
rnacentral:rRNA from 1 species